UGAAGGAACAGAUGCUGCUGGGCAAAAGGUUCUUCGUGAGGAGACGCUGCUCAGGUGCCCUGUGGAUCUUCCUGGUAAGAUACAAGCACCUGUCAGAAUCUUGUGGUGAUGAGUACUAUUCCUUUCAGAUGGCUGUUCCUAGUCAGUUUGGGGGCUAGGAAAGGGGGCUUUCUGCUGUGCAGAAAACUCCACAGAAAAGGGUCUGGACAUGAGAGCCACCAACUUAAUGGGGACUUGUGCCUCUCUGCAGGGUCAGCAGGUGAAUGUUUGUUUUGUCUCCCAGCCAUAUUCUGGCUACAUGAGUUCCUGCGAGUUCAGGGAUUGAACUGGAGACUAGGUACAAUGAUUUUUCUUAACUACCAAGAGCUGAUCUAGUUUAUCCUGACAGAUUCAAUGUAAAUCCAUUUGCCUGUACAUGGCCUCAGGGGGAGUCUCUGUUCAUGGAAAUUCAGGUCCCUCCUGAGCAGGCUUCCAUGCCAGAUCCAUGUGUUUGACCUUCACCUGACUCUCAUUUCCCUUGGUAUGCAGAGUCACCAGGAUGUCUUAAGUCAGUGUCCUUCAUGUGUUUGUCCCCCUGCUUUGUGCUUUGGCUGCAAAGCCCUGCUGUUUUUUCCAGCCCUAGAUGCUCCAAGCAGCAGUGUGUGUUCGGCCGUUCCCAGCCAGGACCGGCUGCCCUGUGCCUCCCUGCCCAUCAGCCAGGGAGACUGUGGAGCACGAGGCUGCUGCUAUGACCCCAGAGACAGGGUGCAGCCUUGCUACUUUGGUAACACAGUGACAGCUCAUUGCACACCAGAUGGCCAGUUUUCUAUUGCUGUUUCUCGAGGUGUGACCCUGCCACCUGUUGCCCUGGACUCAGUGCAGCUGGCCAGUGGACACACUACUGGCUGUGUCCCUGUCCUGACAAACAAUGCCUUUGUUGUGUACCAGUUUCCACUCUCUGCCUGUGGCACUACUUUUCAGAUGACUGGAGACCAAGCCAUAUAUGAGAAUGAGUUGGUGGCAAGCAGGGAUGUGAAGACUGGGAGCCUUGGCUCUGUCACCAGGGAUAGCAUUUUCAGGUUACAUGUCCGAUGUAGUUACCCCAUCAGUGGGAGCUCUGUUCCCUUGAGUGUUCAGGUGUUCACAUUGCCACCACUCCCUGCUGUGUCCCAGGCAGGUCCUCUGUCCUUGGAGCUGCGUGUUGCCUCAGAUGGAAGCUAUACUUCCUACUAUACUGACACUGAUUAUCCUGUUGUGAAGACUCUGAGAGACCCUGUUUAUGCAGAAGUCAAGAUCCUUCAGAGAACAGACCCAGACCUGAUUUUAGUUCUGCACCACUGCUGGGCCACACCAAGCCCCAACCCUCAGCAACAGCUGCAGUGGCCAAUUUUGGUGGAUGGUUGCCCUUACACAGGAGACAACUACCAGACAGAGAUGAUGCCUCAGAGUUUCACCUCAGGACUACUGUUCCCCUCUCAUCAUCAGCGUUUCACCCUCUACACAUUCACCUUUGUGGACUCCACUUCCCAAGAGGAACUCUCUGGGCUGGUGUACCUGCACUGCAGUGCUUCGGUGUGCCACGGGUCUGUGGAGGAGUCCUGUGUCACCACGUGUCCUUCCAGAGUCAGGGGCAAAAGGAGUGCUGAGCAUCCUUUCCAGGAAGGUACUUCCCAUGUGUCCAGCAAAGGCCCUGUGAUUUUCCUCCAGCAUGAGCGAAGACAGGACUCGGCCAAGGAUGGCCUUGGGCACCAGGCUCCAGCCUGUUCCAGUGCAAGACCUGGAGCCCAAGACAGCCCGGUUUCCCAAACAAUAGGAGGAAGCUCUCCAGUUACGUGUGCUUGGACCCCUACCAACCUUUUCCCAGCUGGAAAAAUCACUCCGUGUAUUACAGAGUUUUUUUCCCCAGAUGUAAUUACAAGACUCCCAGUUCCCUUAUGCAUUUUGUAAGGUAGGUACAGGCUGUCUUAAGGGGAACAAUAGGACAUUCCUGAGUGCUUAAACAACUGCUGUUUCCCCAACAUCACCCCCUCUAAAACCAGAGGAGGGCUUAAGCACAUUUGAGCUGUUCCGCUGAAGGUUACUGAGAUCUCAGCUGAAAAAACAUCCAGGGAGGUGCACAGCUCCAUGUACUGCUCCUGCUUUGGUGACUAAGAUACCCAGGCUCUUCCUGUUACCUGAUUACAUACACAAACAUUCCAAAUUCACCAGACUAGCUGGGAGGACUUGGCAAGUGAACAGGGAAUAUCUGUGCAAGGGGUAGCUGGCAGAACUGCCAGCUGGACAUGCACAACACAGUUUAGCUCAGAGACCAGGCUGCAAACAGCCUGGUAGACAAAGUUGCUCAAGGGAGCAGCAUGGAUCAAUUAAUAGAAAUAAGACCUCAUAUUUGACCCAAAUAUUCAUCUACAGCAACAAACAGGUCCCACUCAUGAGCACAUAUUCAGCAAACUUCAUCUCUCCUUCCUCUGACAAAAACCAUCUAGCUGAUCCUGACUGUCCCAUCCCAACACACAUCAGGUACAAGAUGGUCUGUCCCACUGGAUAAAAGGUGGGAAAGUAGACAAAAGAGAACAUUAAUGCUAACUGCAAUGCUUAGGAAGGAGCAGAAAGACAAUUAGGCUGUAGAAUGGCUCUGGCUAAUUGUCAUCAUGCCCUUGCCCUACUGGGGAGAAGUACCUUAUUUUAGGGACCCUAAUGUUUCCAUGAUUCUCACACAAGUAACAUCCAGUUGGGAUCCCAGAGCAUCUGGGUACUAAGGAAGCAAAUGCUACUGCUAGCCAGGACCAGCAUGUGCAACAGAAAUAAGGCUGCUUCAUAUCACAGAGGAUUAUUCAGCCAGAAAUUAACUAGGAGCCAAGAGGCCCUUUGCAAGGAUGGAACGUGCCCCCCAGGGAUGACAGGUAUGUAGUAAUUCAGGUUUUAUUGCCUAUAAUAAGCUUGGAUAAACAACUGUUCAAUAGCCCCAAAGACCAAGGCCGUGUAGACACCAGUUCUUCAACUAAAGCCAAAGGAACUCGAGAAUUGUAUUAGAAAGGUUGCUGUGAACCCAUUCUUCAUGAGUAGCCAUUGCUGACCCUUGGUAAAACCCUGGAGAGCUGCUUUUGCUCAAACAAGGUAGCACUGGACAGGUGUAACCAUACUCUGGCAUGUCUGAAAUCUGUUGCAGUGAGAGCAAGAGCCAAGAAUGCUAUUUCUGAAUAGAGAUGGCAUCCAGAUCAGGACACACAUAAUAUUUGGUGCCUUUUUCUAGCUGAGGUGAUCAGAGAGUGCUGCUGUUGUUCCUUAUUUGGAUAAAUUCUAGAUGAACCUUUUUUUGAUCCCUCUGUGCUCUCUCUGUAGGAUAUCUCUGUUCCCCCACCAAAGCUUUCACCCCCCCCCAUAAACAACACUGCUGUGUCUGGGUGGUGAGGGACACUUCCAUGUGGAAGAGCAAGCUUCCUUUCACCUCCUAACCCUGCCAUCACGUUUGCUCCAUAUGUAUUAGUGGAAACAAGUUCAUGGUCGAAUUACAUCCAGGGCAAAAAGGAGCAGUUUCCACCAUAUGGUAAAACCUUCAAACACCCUGCACGUCUUACGGGGAUGCUGGCACAUCCUCACAGCAGCAUCGCUCUAGAGCCCUUGGGUAGCAGUUUCCAGACUGAGCCCAGGCAGAACAACGUGCUUCAGCAGCCUUGAUGGCAACAGUUCCACUCUGGGGCACCUCACAGAGGCUCCAGCUUACACUAAGCUCUAAGUAGCUGCCCCAGACCAGGACAGCUGGGAAGCACAAUCCAAGCAGAGAGCACCUGAGUGGAUGCCCAAGAAUCUGGCAGUUCUGAUGACUCCAUGGGAACAAUUGCUGCAGCACUCCAAGGAGGCAGGAGUUUGGCAAAAUGAUGGAAAGUCAGGACCCCAGGAGAUAUAACCACCCCAAACACAUGGGUUUGCAACAUUUUUACAGUCCUGCUGUAGCACUGCACACUACAUUUACACUCACAAACCAUGCCUGUAGUCACCUCCACGCCAAGCAAACCAACACGGUGCAGUGAUGCCAGUGAGACAGAACCUGCCGAUCUCGUUUACAGCUGCCACAAACCAAGCUGAGGGUUAAGCAGGGAUGCUAAGAGAAUUCUGCCACACGGGGCUUGUGAUCUCAAAGCCUGCACCUCUGGCUAAGGCAUAAAAUACAGUGGCCCUAGUAUGCCUGAAAAAGGCAUACUGAGACCACAUAAUUUGUUUGCACAACAGAGGCUUAAAAAGUUAUAGGUGAUCAGCUGCAGGACUAUAUCUGCCUUUGCUGCCAGGGUCACCUCAUCUGCACAGGAGCAAGUAAAACACUUAGAGCCCGGGGAUGCACUAGCCUAGAAAGCGGGGUGAUGUCCGCUGCCCGUGCCGUGGCGGGCGGAGGCAGCCCCGACCCGCCUUUCGGUGGUACCGGGCCCGCGCGGUGCCGGGAGCGGGGCCGGUCCCUCGGCAGCACGCACCGCUCGGAGCACAGCGUUCCAGCCUCCCCUGCUCCCUUCUCCCAACUCUGCCACGCUUACCAAGGCGCAAUAAGCCCACAAAGAGGAAACGGGACCGGUUCCUUCGGGCGAUCUUUGUCC